rnacentral:rRNA from 1 species
AACGAACGCUGGCGGCGUGCCUAACACAUGCAAGUCGAACGGGGCUUAUCCCUGUAGCAAUACAGGGUAAGCUUAGUGGCGAACGGGUGAGUGACACGUAGGUAACCUACCCUCAGGAAGGGGAAAACCCCGAGAAAUUGGGGCUAAUACCGUAUAAGACCACAGGCUUGAGAUACUUGUGGUAAAAGGAGCAAUCCACCUGAGGAUGGGCUUGCGGCCUAUCAGGUAGUUGGUAGAGUAAUGGCCUACCAAGCCUAUGACGGGUAGCCGGGCUGAGAGGCUGGACGGCCACACUAGGAUUGAGAUACGGCCUAGACUCCUACGGGAGGCAGCAGUGGGGAAUAUUGCGCAAUGGGGGAAACCCUGACGCAGCGACGCCGCGUGGAGGAAGAAGGCUUUCGGGUUGUAAACUCCUUUUCUUGGGGAAAAUUGUGAUGGUACCCAAGGAAAAAGCCACGGCUAACUCUGUG